GGUCACAUCAUAUUGAAACACUAGUUCCCAUAUGAUCGCCAAAGUUAAGCAACAUUCAGCCUGGUCAGUACUUAGAUGGGUGAUCACUUGAAAACAUGGGGUGCUGUAA